GGGGCACACAACAGCAAACAAGACAGACAUAGUUCUUGACCUCUGGUGUGGGAGGUUCAGAAAAUAAACAUAUUUGUAAAGAAUUUAAAAAGAAACUCGCAUGUAGCAAUAAUUUCGACAAAGAAAAUAAAAUGAAUGGGCCAUGCCCUGAAAAUGCCCACAGUCUGGAAAGACAGACAUAUAAAUGGGUUAUUGUUAAGCCAGGUGUUGUGUGCAUUGAGGGCAGACGCAGAGCAUGUUUUGAUGGGGGUGGUCAAGGGGUGACCUCCUAAGGGAGGAGAAAGGAGGAGCUGAAUCUUAAAUGCUGAGGAAUUGGCCAUGUGAGAAAGGAGGAAAGGAUACUCCGGAUCCAAGACAUGGAAGAGAGUGAAGGCAGAGAGGCGAGGGACAGAGCAGGUUUUCUCACAGACAGAGGCUUGAUUUCCAACCCUUGGGGACGAAAGAGCAAGAUUCUAGAGCAAGAUUCUCAUUCAAGAUUGCUCAGCUUUCUCAUUAUCCAAAGACUAAGAAAGUCCAUAAAAUGGGAAUCAUUAUCGCAACUCAAAAGAGUCGUUACGAAGACCAAACAAGGUGUUUACAUAAACACAUUUGUAAGUGACGAGACUCAGCACAAAUAUAAAGAGUCCAGCAGACCGUCUGGUGGAAAGCAACACUUCGCACUAGACAAAUGGAAACAAACAAAAAACCUCGGGCCUUAUCACGAGGACCCCUUGGGAAGAUACGUCAGGAGCAGGACCCGAAAAUCUCCGAGUCCUUCUGCAGCUGUGCCUUUCUGGAAUCCCAAAGUUCACGGCGGAGGUGCAGCCGCCCAGGAAUUUAUUCCUCCAUAACUUUGAGCUCCUCAAAUCCCCAUGAAGCUCAGGAAUGAUGUGACUGCAGGGCACGUGGCCCCAUUGGCACCGAGAGCCCUUCAUAAAUCAAGGUCUCACUUCUGCUGGCCUCAGACUGCUUUUUCCAAGGUGACCAGGGUGCAGUAAAAGGGGAGUCACUGAUCCAGGAGGGGCACCUGCCUUGGAGAUGAAAGAACCCUGAAAACGCCAAGAGGACUGGUUCUCUUGAAACAUGUCGUUUGUGGGGAGAGCAGUCUUCCUUAUGUCAGAAGACAAUUCGGCCAGGAGGAGUGAGAGGGGAGCAAUUGUCUUCCCAUGAUUUCAUCCAAUUUGGCCCAGGAGGCCCUUGGAGCAGACUCGGAGGAGCCCUCUUGCAGUGCUGGCUCAGCUCCAGUGGAAAGUCAAGGUGACCUCAGCCCUGUCACCAGUUACCCCCAAAACAGACCCCCCCAAGGCAGCCACUUGAAUCACAGGAUCAAAUCAGCUGGCCCAAUGCCCUAUGAUACAGGCCAGGAAACUAUAGGCCGGAGAUGGGAGAGGACCUGUCCGAGGUCGCACAGCCUGGAGGAGAAGAUUCAAGGUCAGACCCAGGGGUCCAGGUUGUUUCCCGCGGCCUGGCUACGCCUCCUUUAAUGCGGCCACACAGCAGUGCAGCCGGGUUCCAGCCCAGGACUCCAGCAACUUAGCCCCAUCCAACCAACUCAUCUGGCCACCUUAAUUUCCCCAGUAGCAUCUAAACGAGCUGUGAGUGUGGAAACCAAAGACUAUGAAAAAGGGCCCUUCCCAUCUCAAAAACAAGUGGGCAGAGAAGCAGAUGCAUCGUUCCUGAGAAACACAGGUACCUGCAAAGUUAACCACCUUCCUAAACGCCUGAGGUGGUUGAAGACACCAAGGGACGUGGAGGAUGGGGGCCAUGGCCUGCCCAAGAUAAUCCAGCCUCCCCCACCCACCAAGGGAGCCAGGCUCUGAGAUGACCCGAGGAGGGGUCUGAAAAAAGCAG
rnacentral:lncRNA from 1 species